GCGGGGGUAGCCAAGUGGUCAAAGGCGCAGGGUUGAGGGCCCUGUCCCUUAGUGGGUUCGUGAGUUCGAAUCUCACCCCCCGCA
rnacentral:tRNA from 1 species